CAGAAUGAGCGAGUAAGGAACGAAUAAAGAGCAGGAUGAUUCGAAUUUAUUACAGCACCUGGCUCAUAGCGACGUUGCUUUUUGAUCCUUCGAUGUCGGCUCUUCUUAUCAUACUGAAGCAGAAUUCAGUAAGCGUCGGAUUGUUCACCCACUAAUAGGGAACAAGACCUGAGGUUUAGACCGUCGUGAGACAGGUUAGUUUUACCCUACGGAUGAAAAGUUGUUGCAACAGUAAUUGAACUUAAUACGACAGGAGCGGAUCAUUCGGAUAAUUGGUAUUCGGGCCUGCCUGAGCAGGCAAUGGCCCGAAGCCAUCAUCCAUUGGAUUAUGGCUGAUCGCCUCCAAGUCAGAACCCGUGCUAGAACGCGACGAUUACCGCCUUUUCCGAUUUUUAGUUGACUACGAAUAUAUCUUCGGAUCCUGAAUCAUACUACAAGGGGUCGAUCUGGCAGAGUGGAAAGACUUUGUGAGAUUCCUCCUAAUGUUAGUUUCAAAAUAUUGGAAGAGGUAAAUCCAUAGCGGACGACUUUAAUUGAACGGGAGUAUUGUAAGCAAUAGAGCAGCCUUGUUGCUACGAUCUGCUGAGAUUAAGCCCAUUGUUCUAUAGAUUU
rnacentral:ncRNA from 1 species